rnacentral:siRNA from 1 species
CUAUGGUAGAACACGACUAUGC